rnacentral:lncRNA from 1 species
ACUUUCUAUUUUAAUCUUCUCUUUUUUAAAUUUCUUUUUGCAAGUAGGUUCUGUGUUCGACACCUUCCUGAGAAAAACAGGAUUUCUGCAUGGAAGGAGGAUGAGUACUCAGACACACACCUGAAUUCUGCAGCAGCAGGAGCUUCUGGGCACAUUAGUCUAGAUUUAGACCUUGAUUUAUCCCAAGGAGGAGAUGCCCAGGAAAUUCUUCCUAGACCCUCCUGAUAUUUGUGGCUUUUCAGAGCUAAGGAGAAGUGAAUGUGUCUUUAUGGGCCAAAAGUCAGUCUCUACCCUGCAAAAAUACAGGCAUUUCCUUGUGAUUCAACAUUCAGGACUGGUCAGUGUAAAGCAAAUAAAUGACACUCAUGGAUGCUGGAUCGUGUGUCACCUUGUCUGA